rnacentral:rRNA from 1 species
AAUCAACGCUGGCGGCGUGCCUAACACAUGCAAGUCGAACGCGAAAGCCCUUUCGGGGGUAAGUAGAGUGGCGUCCGGGUGAGUAACACGUAGGUAAUCUGCCUUCGGGUGGGGAAUAACCAGUCGAAAGAUUGGCUAAUACCGCAUAAUGCAGCGGCACCUAAUGGUGAUUAGUUGUUAAAGCGGGGGAUCGUAAGACCUCGCGCCUGAAGAGGAGCCUGCGGCAGAUUAGCUAGNGGUGAGGUAAUGGCUCACCAAGGCUUCGAUCUGUAGCUGGUCUGAGAGGACGGCCAGCCACACUGGCACUGACACACGGGCCAGACUCCUACGGGAGGCAGCAGUGGGGAAUUUUGGGCAAUGGGCGAAAAGCCUGACCCAGCAACGCCGCGUGAGGGAGGAAAUCCUUCGGGAUGUAAACCUCACAAGCAAGGGAAGAGAGCUCAGGGCCGAAUAAGCUUUGAGUCCGACGGUACCUUGCGUAAGCCACGGCUAACUACGUG